GCCAGACUCCUACGGGAGGCAGCAGUGGGGGAUAUUGCACAAUGGGGGGAACCCUGAUGCAGCGACGCCGCGUGGGUGAAGGAGCGUUUCGGCGCGUAAAGCCCUAUCGGCAGGGAAGAAGGAGGACGGUACCUGACUAAGAAGCCCCGGCUAACUACGUGCCAGCAGCCGCGGUAAUACGUAGGGGGCAAGCGUUAUCCGGAUUCACUGGGUGUAAAGGGAGCGUAGACGGCGACGCAAGUCUGGAGUGAAAGCCCGGGGCCCAACCCCGGGACUGCUCUUGGAACUGCGCGGCUGGAGUGCAGGAGAGGUAAGUGGAAUUCCUAGUGUAGCGGUGAAAUGCGUAGAUAUUAGGAGGAACACCAGUGGCGAAGGCGGCUUACUGGACUGUAACUGGCGUUGAGGCUCGAAAGCGUGGGGAGCAAACAGGAUUAGAUACCCUCGUAC
rnacentral:rRNA from 1 species